AUCUGGAAGACAAGAGGGUACUGAAAGGAGGUCACUGGUAAACACUUUAGUCUCUCAGUUCAGCAGCUUCCCCACUAAAGCCUGGGGGCCCUUUGCCAGACGGGUGAGUCUGCAGGUGAGCCUUGCUUGCACAAGGUGGGUGCUUCUGCUAAUUGGGUUGAUGUAAUUAACUGUCGUGGUUUUUUUUUUUUUUUUUUUCACCCGGGAAGCCAGCCAUGGUCUCAGCAUGAGCAGUUUUGCUGGGCCAGCCUGCAGCAGCAGUGAGCACAAACAUUUUUGGAGCUCCAAAUGCAAACAGCAACUUCAAAGUAAAGAGCAGGCUGCCGCUGGGACAGAGCCAUUUCCCUGGGGGCUGGAGGGUGAGCAAUGUUGGCUUCCCAGACCAGGAAGGAGAGAGAAAUCAUUUUAUCUCCAUUCUGCUUUUAAUCAGGUGUCAGGAUAUUGGUGCCAUUUCUGUCUAAUGAUAAUCUCUUUUUCUAAACAAAAUGACUUGUUAGAGGCUGAGGAAAGAUAAGUGACUUCUGAUGUGCCCUGACAGAUUCAGAAAACAGGUACAGUCCUCCUAAUUCCACCCCUGGUCUUGUGACACCAGCUUCUCCCAGCAUCACUUAGACCAGUGGUUCUCAACUUGUACGUUGCCUCCCCUUCGGGGGUUGAAUGUUUCUUUCACAGGGGUCACCUAAGAUCAUCAGAAAACAGUUAUUUACCUCAUGAUUCAUAACAGUAUCAAAAUUACAGUUAUGGAGUAGCAACAAAAAUAAUUUUAUGGUUAGAGGAGUCACCACAACAUGAGGAACUGUAUUAAAGUGUUAUAGCAUUAGGAAGGUUGAGAACGUCUCUCUUAGAGGAUGCAUUAAAAAUAAAUCAUGAGGGCAGCACUUGUGUUUAGAAUACUAGCCUUAGCUGCAAAAGGCCAUCCAGUGAUGUCUGCCAGCACAUCCGGGUCUACCUAGAACAUUGGGGUCUACCUGCGAGGGCCUCUCAGCUCAGUGGUUUAGAUUCCAUGAUUCAGUUGCAGUCUCUGUAAUGCACCCAACCCAAGACUCUAAAACAAAACAAAAGAGUGAGCAGAGAAAGAAAUUUCACAAGCUCUACUCUAGCAGGGUUAAUGACUACCUGAGUGAUUUUAGAAGAGUUGUUUGCCUUCUUGUGAAUUCAAUCUUACCUGUGUAUAAUGGAAGAAAUGGAACCUCUUUUACAGGUUUAUGGAGAAAAUAAGGAGGUAGAGCGGCACAGAGGAUGUGCUGAGAGCAGGAAUUAUAAUCAUUUCCAUUUCAACUGCCAUCAUUUCCCAGCAGGCUUUAAAUAAUAUAGUAAGGGUAUUUUUACCAGUCACCUGCAUGGGCCAUUCUCUACCUCUGAUAAUCCACAGUUCGCCAUAAUUUAAUCUAACACAGAGAACACUAGUGCCAAAUUCUUAUUUCCAAAUGUGUUCCAAGGACUCUUCUCUAGCUUCCUGAGCAGAGUUGCAUGUCAACAAAAAGGCAGAAGCCACCCAUUUUUCCAUGGGCUCCUUUAUCGAUUCCUCUGGUCCAAAUGAAACAAUGUUUUCUCCUAGAUAAAGGGUGACCUAAAGUAAAAAAAAUCCCAGGCCAGCAAUACAAAUGCAAAGCCUAGAAAUCCUUUUCUUUCCCUACACACUAGCUUCCCCAAUCUGAAGAUGGAUGUAGUUUCAAGUGACGGUAUCUGUUCCUGGAAACGGGGGCAUUUUUAAAUCUUAAUCAAUAUUUAUCUAUUCUAGGAAGAUUUUUCCUGUCCUGGUGUCUGGUGAUCAUAGAAAAAGAAUUGGUCCAUGGGCAAUUCCUAUUUCAUCAUAAGAUGUGAUAUAAUUUGAAUGUUGAAAUUGCCUCUACACCACACUUGACUACUAGCAUAGAUAAAGUGGCGGCUCUAAUUCGUUUCCAUGUUCCUGGAUUGGAGUGACUGCAGAUUCCACAAAACCGUUCUUAGAGCUAUCUUAUUUUCUUCCCUUCUUAGACCUUAGUAAUCUUAGGAGCAUAAUAAUAAACUUGAGCAUGGAUCGGGUUAAAGAACUAGCUUAGAAAGCAGCCUUUCAUUUACCAGGGUCUUACCCACAUACUUGGAACUGAGUUUAGAUGUCUCUGCUCGCUGACAACACACAAACUUUUCUUUAUCACAACACUUAGACUAAUACAAAGAUCAAUGUUCAUCUAAAGGGACUGAGCUUAUAUUAACAUUGGAUCUGAAUCAUCUUUGUCUCUCUGAAGGCAGAAAUGUAAGACUGGGAGAAACUUGAAGACCAGGAAAUUGGAAAUGAAUGACUAGACGCUCAGUAUGCAAUCUGUGAAGAUCAUAAGAUAAGAACUUUUGAAUCCCUCCAUUCCUGAAUGACUCCUCCACUCAUUUCAGCACAUUAGUUAUUCCUAUGUAAAAUAAAAAUCAUAGCCUCUCUUUAAGGAUCUGAGUGACAUGUUAAAAAAAAGAAAAAUGCCCAGUAGUAAACAAGGAUUAUUGCUAAAUGUUACGAGUUAUGGAUAAACUUAUCAUUCAGUGUUUUUCUUUC
rnacentral:lncRNA from 1 species